AUUGAACGCUGGCGGCAUGCUUUACACAUGCAAGUCGAACGGCAGCGCGGGCUUCGGCCUGGCGGCGAGUGGCGAACGGGUGAGUAAUGCAUCGGAACGUGCCCAGUAGUGGGGGAUAGCCCGGCGAAAGCCGGAUUAAUACCGCAUACGACCUGAGGGUGAAAGCGGGGGACCGAAAGGCCUCGCGCUAUUGGAGCGGCCGAUGUCGGAUUAGCUAGUUGGUGGGGUAAAGGCUUACCAAGGCGACGAUCCGUAUCGGGUCUGAGAGGACGACCAGCCACACUGGGACUGAGACACGGCCCAGACUCCUACGGGAGGCAGCAGUGGGGAAUUUUGGACAAUGGGGGCAACCCUGAUCCAGCCAUGCCGCGUGCGGGAAGAAGGCCUUCGGGUUGUAAACCGCUUUUGUUCGGGAAGAAAUCCUCUGGGCUAAUACCCCGGGGGGAUGACGGUACCGGAAGAAUAAGCACCGGCUAACUACGUG
rnacentral:rRNA from 1 species